UUCAGGCUGGAAACGUUGAUGUGCUGCACUGCUAUUAUGCACAUGGAGAAGAAAAUGAAAAUUUCCAAAGGCGCAGUUAUUGGAUGCUUGAAGAGGCUCUGCAACACAUAGUUCUCGUCCACUACCGGGAAGUUAAGGUUCUAGGUCGAGAGAAGGACAUUUCAAUCCCUCUGGACUUAACAACAAUUCAACUUUUCCAACCAGAAGAAAAAGAACACUUCAACACUAGCCGAGAAAGGUAUUCGUGCACCUUUUUUUAUUUUUUUUUUAAUUUUUUUAUUAUUUCAUGAUAUAGAUCUUUGCACAAUUGGUAAAAGCAAAUGCAGGCCUAGAACAUAUUUGCACAAUGAUAACCACACAUCAUUAAUUUUUCUCUCCUACACACCUCUUUUUAUUUAAGUCACCAAAACUGAAUUGAUUAAACGAAAAUUAUGAUUAAAAUUAAUCAUGAGUGUACAUGAGAAGAAAAUUUGGGUAUGGUUAUCAUUUUGCUCUAUAAGAUGGGCAAAUAUUAAUUAUUCCUAACCCUACUUGAGCAGAUGAGAGCUGAGAACGAACAGAUGAGGGCGCAGAUGAGUAUGAUUGUACAGGCCUUAGCGGUGUCCGGUCUCCAAAUCCAGCUGCCACCACUUGAUCUUACUCCACCUUCGACCUCCCAGCCACCUCACCUACCCGAUACCCAGUAGUUUUCAAACCUAGAAGACUACUUGUUGUAGUUUUUUCUUUUUUUGUUUAGACAUCUUGUAUGCACAUUUUCAUAUAUAUGGUUUAUAAUUAAAUUUUUUCUUGGUUUA